GCCAGUGUGGUGUAGUGGUUUAAGCGCUGGACUAGAGUGCUGGAGACCAGGGUUCAGAUUCCUGCUCUGCCA